UACAGAGGUCCCGAGCGUUGUUCGGAUUCAUUGGGCGUAAAGGGCGCGUAGGCGGCGGGGUAAGUCUGGUGUGAAAUCUCGGAGCUCAACUCCGAAAUUGCACUGGAUACUGCUCUGCUAGAGGGCUGGAGAGGAGAUCGGAAUUCACGGUGUAGCAGUGAAAUGCGUAGAUAUCGUGAGGAAGACCAGUGGCGAAGGCGGAUCUCUGGACAGCUCCUGACGCUGAGGCGCGAAGGCUAGGGGAGCAAACGGG
rnacentral:rRNA from 1 species